rnacentral:misc_RNA from 1 species
UGAGACCCCUGAGGUCGAAGUAUAUCCAAAAGGCAUUCAGUUACGAUGCAUUUCCACUGAGAUCAUGAGUGGAAUCGUUAGUUAUCCGGAUCAGCUAUGCGGGUGAAUAACGUUCCGGGCUUGUUACACACCGCCGUCACACAUGGGAGUUGGUUUUACCCGAAGGCGCUGUGCUAACGCAGGAGGCAGGCGACACGGUAAGGGUCAGCGACUGGGGUGAAGUCGUAACAAGGUAGCCGUAGGGGAACUGCGGCUGGAUCACUCCUUUCUAAGGAAGAACUCUAAUGGAAACGCUCACUUGUUGAGCCUCUGCCUUUCAGUUCUCUUGGAACAAGACGGAAGAGAGUCACUCUUACCGUCGCGCAUACCUUAAGCGGGUCUGCCGCCUUCGUUUCUCUUUCUUCAGCGAAUGACUUUGGAUCAGCGCUCGCGCGCCGUACCGCAGCCCUUUGGGCUGCUGGCGCUCCGCGAGGGCGCGGCAUAAGCCGCGACGGCCGGUCGGCCUUGCGAGGCUUCGCCUCGAGGUCAACAGCUCGUUACUGGCAGAGCGCGGUCUUUAGGGCUUGUAGCUCAGUUGGUUAGAGCGCGCGCUUGAUAAGCGUGAGGUCGGAGGUUCAAGUCCUCCCAGGCCCACCAUCUCCUUGAUGUCUGCCAUCUUCUUGGUGGUUCUAUCAGGAACACAAUCAGGGGCCGUAGCUCAGCUGGGAGAGCGCCUGCUUUGCAAGCAGGAUGUCGUCGGUUCGAUCCCGUCCGGCUCCACCAUCUUCCCUUGAAGUGGUGUCGAGUAGAGAUGAGACAAAAGUCAUUCGUAUAAAGGUUUGUGGUGAGCUUCUGGCUUGCCGCUUGUUCUGUUUGACAUCGUAAAGAGAAGAUUUGUUCGAACUUCAUGAGCCGAAAGGGUCGUGAUUUGUCGCGGGAGACGCUCAAUCUCCCGCAUAUGAUGGGUUUGCCUAACCGCGCCCUCGAACCGAUCUCGAGAAGCUGGUCUUUUUGUGCCAAUGACAUCGGGUCAAAUCCCGCACAGGAUUUGGCCCAGGCGACAAUCCCUAUGGGAUUGCGCGGACGCUAACCUCGCAAGGGGAAGGCUGAAGCGACAAUCCUGCGGAUUGCGCAGGUGGGCAUUGGCAAUGAGAACGAUCAAGUGUCUUAAGGGCAAUUGGUGGAUGCCUUGGCAUGCACAGGCGAUGAAGGACGUGAUACGCUGCGAUAAGCUACGGGAGGUGCGAAUACCCUUAUCCGG